rnacentral:rRNA from 1 species
GAUGAACGCUAGCGGCAGGCUUAAUACAUGCAAGUCAAGGGGAUCAGCGAUGGUCACCGGCGGACGGGUGAGUAACGCGUACACAACGUGCCUUUAACUGAGGGAUAGCAUUGGGAAACUGGUGGUAAUACCGCAUGUGGUUGAAAUGAGGCAUCUCAUAUUAACUAAAGAGAGAUUGGUUAGAGAUCGGUGUGCGUCUGAUUAGGUAGUUGGUAGGGUAAUGGCCUACCAAGCCGACGAUCAGUAGGGGGCGUGAGAGCGUGGACCCCCACACGGGUACUGAGACACGGACCCGACUCCUACGGGAGGCAGCAGUAAGGAAUAUUGGACAAUGGAGGGAACUCUGAUCCAGCCAUGCCGCGUGAAGGAUGAAAGCGCUACGCGUUGUAAACUUCUUUUGAAUGGGAAGAAAACAUUGGAUGAGUCUGAUGCUGACGGUACCAUUAGAAUAAGCACCGGCUAACUCCGUG